rnacentral:rRNA from 1 species
GACGAACGCUGGCGGCGUGCUUAACACAUGCAAGUCGAACGGAAAGGCCCUGCUUUUGUGGGGUGCUCGAGUGGCGAACGGGUGAGUAACACGAGAGUAACCUGCCCUUGACUUUGGGAUAACUUCAGGAAACUGGGGCUAAUACCGGAUAGGAGCUCCUGCUGCAUGGUGGGGGUUGGAAAGUUUCGGCGGUUGGGGAUGGACUCGCGGCUUAUCAGCUUGUUGGUGGGGUAGUGGCUUACCAAGGCUUUGACGGGUAGCCGGCCUGAGAGGGUGACCGGCCUCAUUGGGACUGAGAUACGGCCCAGACUCCUACGGGAGGCAGCAGUGGGGAAUAUUGCACAAUGGGCGGAAGCCUGAUGCAGCAACGCCGCGUGCGGGAUGACGGCCUUCGGGUUGUAAACCGCUUUCGCCUGUGACGAAGCGUGAGUGACGGUAAUGGGUAAAGAAGCACCGGCUAACUACGUG